UACGGAGGGUGCAAGCGUUAAUCGGAAUUACUGGGCGUAAAGCGUGCGCAGGCGGUUUGUUAAGUCUGUUGUGAAAUCCCCGAGCUCAACUUGGGAAUUGCAAUGGAUACUGGCAGGCUGGAGUAUGGUAGAGGAAGGUGGAAUUCCCGGUGUAGCAGUGAAAUGCGUAGAGAUCGGGAGGAACACCAGUGGCGAAGGCGGCCUCCUGGACCGGUAUUGACGCUGAGGCGCGAAAGCCAGGGGAGCAAACGGG
rnacentral:rRNA from 1 species